GUGUACAAAAACAUCAAGAAAAAGACAAAUAAUGUUACAUUUACAAUUUACUAAAAGUAACAUGAGCUCAGUCCAGUUGGUGUAGCACGCCCUACCACAUCCAACGUUAUAGAUGCAAUGGGGCAGCCAGAAAGAGCUAUUUUGAGCUUAAGUUCAUAUUUCAACAUUUCUUCUAACUCCAUACUCUCCCUUUUGCGGCCCAACCCAUACACAAUUGGUCUCCC
rnacentral:lncRNA from 1 species